UUGGAGGGCAAGUCUGGUGCCAGCAGCCGCGGUAAUUCCAGCUCCAAUAGCGUAUAUUAAAGUUGUUGCAGUUAAAAAGCUCGUAGUUGAAUUUCGGGAUCAAAUUGUCGGUCGUGCCUCGGUACGCACUGGUAUUAUUGGUUCCUACCUUCUGAAGAACCGCGAUGUCAUUAAUUUGGUGUCGUGGGGAAUCAGGGCUGUUACUUUGAAAAAAUUAGAGUGUUUAAAGCAGGCUUACGCUUGAAUACAUUAGCAUGGAAUAAUGAAAUAGGACGUUCGAUCCUAUUUUGUUGGUUUCUAUGAUUGACGUAAUGAUUAAUAGGGAUAGUUGGGGGCAUUAGUAUUCAAUUGUCAGAGGUGAAAUUCUUGGAUUUAUUGAAGACUAACUACUGCGAAAGCAUUUGCCAAGGAUGUUUUCAUUAAUCAAGAACGAAAGUUAGGGGAUCGAAGACGAUCAGAUACCGUCGUAGUCUUAACCAUAAACUAUGCCGACUAGGGAUCGGAUGAUGUUAAUUUUUUAAUGACUCAUUCGGCGCCUUACGGGAAACCAAAGUGUUUGGGUUC
rnacentral:rRNA from 1 species